rnacentral:rRNA from 1 species
UACGUAGGAGACGAGCGUUGUCCGGAGUUAUUGGGCGUAAAGGGCGCGUAGGCGGCCACGCACGUCCGUUGUGAAAUCGCCCGGCUCAACGUGGGCGGGGUCGGCGGAUACGGCGUGGCUGGAGCAAGCUAGGGGGCAAUGGAAUUCCCGGUGUAGUGGUGGAAUGCGUAGAUAUCGGGAGGAACACCAGUGGCGAAGGCGGUUGCCUGGAGCUUUGGCUGACGCUGAGGCGCGGAAAGCGUAGG